rnacentral:tRNA from 1 species
GUUUAUAUAACUUAAAUUAGAGUAUGGCAGUGAAGUUGCUAAUGUAAUAUAAAAUAUUUGUAAAC